rnacentral:rRNA from 1 species
GCGAGUGAACAGGGAGAAGCCCAGCACCGAAGCCUGUGGUCAUUUGACUACUAGGCAAUGUGGUGUUUAGGUCGUUCCUUGAGGGCGCUGCCUCACUCCAAGUCCAGAAAUGAGUACGGUAAUACUGACUUGGCCCAGAGAGGGUGAAAGGCCCGUGGGAGUGAGGUCGCAGAAAUGCCAGUGCCUUCCUGGAUAGACCUUGGAGUCGGGUUGUUUGUGAAUGCAGCCCAAAGUGGGUGGUAAACUCCAUCCAAGGCUAAAUACUAACACGAGUCCGAUAGCAAACAAGUACCGUGAGGGAAAGUUGAAAAGUACUUUGAAGAGAGAGUAAACAGUGCGUGAAACCGCUCAGAGGUAAACGGGUGGAGUUGAACUGUGAUCUCUGUGGAUUUAGCCGGUGAGUAUGGCUUGAGCUUGGUCAAGCUGGUUGUAUAAUGGAAUCUGCUUAGCCGCAGGUCCGCGCCUUCGGGUGUGGAUGCGCGAUGCACUUAUCAAGUGUUGUGCGUUCCAAUUGUUUCGUGCCAGCUCGCCGGUGCAUUUUCGCAGAGUGUUCACCACGACCGGCAUUCGUUGUCUGGCUGAUGUGGUUAAACCGGCCUUCCUUGUCCUUGUGACGUGGUUUGUCGGGAUGGCAGGUAGCUCGAUUGCAGGGCCUGUGGUUCGCUGCAGGUUCCGGCUCUAGGGUGUUACUAGCUGACCGCAUUGGUUCUGUGCAAUAUGUCGGAGACGGCGGCUUGUGGUACAUGCGUUCGUACUUGUUGGUUGGCGUGUCCGGGUUUGGUUUUUAUGUUGCUUGUGUUUACAGGCCUGAUGAUAUCCCGGGUUCGUUCGGCUGGCAGUGGCGUUCGUUGUGC